ACGGGAGGCAGCAGUGAGGAAUAUUGGUCAAUGGGCGGAAGCCUGAACCAGCCAUGCCGCGUGCAGGAAUAAGGCCCUAUGGGUCGUAAACUGCUUUUGUAGUGGAGCAAUAAGGUCUACGCGUAGACUGAUGAGAGUACAUUACGAAUAAGCAUCGGCUAACUCCGUGCCAGCAGCCGCGGUAAUACGGAGGAUGCAAGCGUUAUCCGGAUUUAUUGGGUUUAAAGGGUGCGCAGGCGGCACGUUAAGUCAGCGGUGAAAUGCAGGGGCUCAACCCCGGCACUGCCGUUGGAACUGGCGAGCUCGAGUACGGAUGAAGUCGGCGGAAUGUGAUGUGUAGCGGUGAAAUGCUUAGAUAUGUCACAGAACACCGAUUGCGAAGGCAGCUGACUAAUCCGCAACUGACGCUCAGGCACGAAAGCGUGGGGAUCGAACAGGAUUAGAUACCCUGGUA
rnacentral:rRNA from 1 species